CCCCCGCCCUCUGUCCCUGAUGCUUGCUCUCUACCCCUCCUCACUGGUCGCCCCUGGGAAAGAAAAGACCAUAAGCCCCUAUUUCAUAUGGACGAUCCCCACAAAUGUGAGCUUCUUCUUCAAGAAUGGGAGACAGCCUCUAAACAGUACAGCACUUGCUACCUAGACAUAAGACUGACAACAAAGCCUCAAUGAACUUAUGUUUUUCCUUCCAGUCAUUAUUCAGUAAGGAUUUGCCUGCCGCUGGUGAGCUUGUAAGCCAGGCCUGGCGGUCUAGCGGUCAAGAUUCAGCUCUCUCACCGCCGCGGACCGGUUCAUUUCUCUGUCAAGGAACCACACCAGUCGUCUGUCGGUUGUCAUCCUGUGGCAGCUGCCUGUUGCUGUGAUGCUGAAAGCUCUCCCACAGGAACACCCUCCUUCCUGGGGCCACAAAUACACGGAAAACUCCCGCUUACUUUUGUGAGACGAGGCUUAAACACCUCCACCUCUGAGAAGCUUCUCAUGAUCCAUCCAAACCAAGGGGACAUCAGCGAUGGCAUUUAUACAGACCCCUGCUUCCGCUGCUGCAUUCAAACUGGCUGGAACCUGCUUGUGUCUCCUGUCCCCACUGAGGGCAGGGCACCUGCUUCAUUCCUGUUGCAUCCCUCAUGACCAGAGGAGCAGACCGGCACCGAAGAGAGAAGGCCUCCCUGUGGGUACGUCCAGGGACACAUGGAGCCCAUGCCUCGCUGGGCCUUCACACCCCUCUCUCCUAUUGGCUUCCCCCAGCCCUUAUGUCUUGCACAGGACAACGUGAAAAGAGAUUGUAAAAAUGAUUGGUGACAUUCGGCGCCUGUAAGGAUGUGGGAAGGAGGUGCUCUCAAGAGCUUUUGGUGCGCGUUUAAACUGGCAAAACCUUCCUGCGGCUUUUUCCACCUUGAGGAACCUGCGUCCCAGCGAAUCCACAUGCGCGAUGACUGGUUAUGGUGACAAAUGGUCAGUGUAGCGAUGGCAGACAAUUGAUCACGAUCUGAGUGUCCGUCAAUAGAGGAAAGGACGGAACAAAGCACAGUAGUUAUGGGAAAUUAUAUUAUUUAGAGUCUGUAGCAACUGCAAAUAAUCAGGUUUCCCCACAAGGAUGGACUUGGAAAGAAGUCGUUUCAGGACACGAUGUAGAGCGUGUUUUGAUAAAAAGUAAGCAUUAUAGAGAUGCAGGAAAGUAUGCAGGAAUGUCAGAGCCCAGAAGACAAACGGACGUUUACAGACCAGCUUGUCACUGUGGCGGCCUCUGGGGACGAGGGUAGGCUCCAGGCGGGAAGGGAGUAAAGGACCACUUCAUAUCUUAUUCUAUAUUUCUACAGUUUGAACUUUUCACAAUGAGAUUAUAUGAUGUUAAAUCACACCAAAUUGCCAAUACUCUGUCACACUGGUCCACAAAAAUAGCAAUUUUGUAUGGUUCAACCAAAUGCAUGCUGAAGGUUUCACAAUGAGAAUGCAUGAAUGUCUUGUGCUAAGAAAACAUGAAAAUAUUUUAAAUAGCUAUAGUAAGGACUCCUACCAGAAUAAUAAAGCCAUUCUAUGAUUCAAGAUGGGACCUAAUAACUCGGAUUCCACAGAAACUAUAUUUGAAAUGAAUGCAUAUCAUUCAUUCUUCUUCCUUCGCCAAAUUCUAAUUGAGCACCUGCUGUCUGCCGGGCACUGUCCUGGUGCUUGGCAUACAUCAGUGCCUCCAUUUGGGGCACUUCUGAAGGAACUUCCCGGCUUUGGCUUCUGGAGUCCUCAUGGUGAGCUGACCUCUGUUGUGACUACAUUAGUUUCAGAGUCCCCCUCUGCCUCAUCCUCCUUCGCACACACCCUUACGGGUGGUAUUUCUCAGAACACUUCUCAGAAAGAUGACCUACAUGCACAUCCUUUCUAACUCUGCUUCCCAGGGAACCCAGCCUAUACCACACACAACGAUCGUGUAUUAAAUACUGUUUUUCAACUGCAUUUUAUUACUUAAUAUACUGUGAAUCUUUCUACAUCACUUUUAACGUUGAAAUAUUAUUCCACUGUUCCACAAUUUAUUUAACUGGUUUCCUCUUAUUGGGCACUUGGGUAGUUUCCAACUUUCUGACUCUGUGAGCAUCGCUACAGCAAACGUUCCAGCCUUACAUUGAUCUGUGCACCGCCCCCCCACCCCCGAGCAUUUCCUUGAAAAACAUUCUGAGCAGUGAGAUAUUUGGGACAACCAGAAUUUACGGUUCUUUGCAUUUUAAACUGUUGCACUUGGAAAUAAUUUCAAACUUACAGAAAAGUUGCGAGAAUAAGAAUAGUAAUAAGAACACUUUACUCAGAUUCACCUAUCUGAGUAAAGCACAUUUUACUCCUAGAUACGUCAGUGUUUAUUUUCUAAGAAUUGAGAUAUUCUUUACAGAAGCACAGAAUAGUUAUCAACUUCAGUAAAU
ensembl:lncRNA